rnacentral:sRNA from 1 species
GAUCCCGGUGCUGCUGCUUCAAAAAGGAAAUGCCAUCAGGACCCUUAGAGUGUUUCCUGGAGAAAUUGACGAUGGAGCGUCACAGUGUUCAAGUGUGACAGUGACUCGGAACUGCAGCAUUACCCAUCGUUAUGUCACCACACCAAUGUCAUCACAUUCUGCUGCUGUUUGACCCAUGUGUCAAAAAACGAAUCCCCCAUGACUGGAAAUGCCUCUCCUAUUGUAACGCUUGCUUCGAUCCGUCCACCUCUGCAAACAUUACAAAUGAUGUAAAUUCACUCAGCAAGGUUCUGAGGAUGAUGCAUUCUCUGUGCGAUUCUUAAGUUUUGUCUCAUCUCCAAACGCUUCGCUCGAACACAGAAAUAAAGGGUAUU